rnacentral:lncRNA from 1 species
UAGAAUAAGCUCGCGAGCUACAUGCGAACUUAGUUGAAGAUAAUAAGAAGCUAUUGUAACAAAACAAAAGGUUGCAAGAGUGUUUUACCCUUGUUGAGAAGGAAGUUGAAAAAUUACAUGGGGAGAUCAUAGGUGAGCGAGCUGGCAAAAGUGUCUUGGAAGCUACCCUAAAAAAUAUGGAUGAUCAGCACAAAGCUGCUAUGGCUAACUUGGUGAAAAGUCAUAAGGAAGCUUGUUUCCUUGUUUAUUUAGUCAACCUUCCUUCAAUAGCCCCCACUUCACUCCAUCGAUCCACCUUUUAUACCUUUGUCCCCCUUUGUAAGACAUUCUCUCUCCCUUACCAUACCAUUGUCGUCCCAUGCACCUAAACACUCCUAACUCCCAUUUGCUUUUCAUUCACUUUUCUCUCAUACUUUUUCUCUUUUCCUCCCCCAUCAACUACUACUUCUUUUAAUUUUUACAACCAAACCAUCACCGUCGGCCACCAUAUCAUCACCAAAUCACCACCAGGACACCAUAAAUACCUCUCCUUUCUUUUACGCCUCCUCCACACUUCACCAUCGUUACACCAUCACCUCACUAUUUUUCACUAAUUUUCAUAUUCCCUUCAUUUCUUUAAUUAAAAUCGAACUAUUAAUCCUCUUCUCUUAUUUUUCAUAGUUCUCUUACGAUCCUAAUCCUCUUCUCUAUUGUAACCAAACUAUUGUAGGAUCAAGGACUCACCUAUUCCUUGG